rnacentral:rRNA from 1 species
GAUGAACGCUGGCGGCGUGCCUAACACAUGCAAGUCGAGCGGGGUGAUGGUGCUUGCACUAUCACUUAGCGGCGGACGGGUGAGUAAUGCUUAGGAAUCUGCCUAUUGGUGGGGGACAACAUCUCGAAAGGGAUGCUAAUACCGCAUACGUUCUACGGGAGAAAGCAGGGGAUCACUUGUGACCUUGUGCUAAUAGAUGAGCCUAAGUCUGAUUAGCUAGUUGGUGGGGUAAAGGCCUACCAAGGCGACGAUCUGUAGCGGGUCUGAGAGGAUGAUCCGCCACACUGGGCCUGAGACACGGCCCAGACUCCUACGGGAGGCAGCAGUGGGGAAUAUUGGACAAUGGGGGGAACCCUGAUCCAGCCAUGCCGCGUGUGUGAAGAAGGCCUUAUGGUUGUAAAGCACUUUAAGCGAGGAGGAGGCUCUUUUGGUUAAUACCCAAGAUGAGUGGACGUUACUCGCAGAAUAAGCACCGGCUAACUCUGUGCCAGCCGCCGCCGUAA